rnacentral:tRNA from 2 species
GGGCCGGUAGCUCAGUGGGAGAGCGUCCGCUUGGCAUGCGGGAGGUCCCGGGUUCGAAUCCCGGCCGGUCCA